ACGACCCCAGGAUGAACGAGAU
rnacentral:rRNA from 1 species